rnacentral:rRNA from 1 species
CCGGCACGGGUGAGUAACACGUAUCCAACCUGCCGUCUACUCUUGGCCAGCCUUCUGAAAGGAAGAUUAAUCCAGGAUGGGAUCAUGAGUUCACAUGUCCGCAUGAUUAAAGGUAUUCUCCGGUAGACGAUGGGGAUGCGUUCCAUUAGAUAGUAGGCGGGGUAACGGCCCACCUAGUCAACGAUGGAUAGGGGUUCUGAGAGGAAGGUCCCCCACAUUGGAACUGAGACACGGUCCAA